rnacentral:rRNA from 1 species
UGAGACCGGCGCACGGGUGCGUAACGCGUAUGCAAUCUACCUUUCACAGAGGGAUAGCCCAGAGAAAUUUGGAUUAAUACCUCAUAGUAUAGCUGAACCGCAUGGUUCUACUAUUAAAGAUUUAUCGGUGAAAGAUGAGCAUGCGUCCCAUUAUUUAGUUGGUAAGGUAACGGCUUACCAAGACUACAAUGGGUAGGGGUCCUGAGAGGGAGAUCCCCCACACUGGUACUGAGACACGGACCAGACUCCUACGGGAGGCAGCAGUGAGGAAUAUUGGUCAAUGGGCGCAAGCCUGAACCAGCCAUGCCGCGUGCAGGAUGAAGCAUCUAUGGUGUGUAAACUGCUUUUAUACGAGAAGAAACAACGCUACGUGUAGCGUCUUGACGGUAUCGUAAGAAUAAGGACCGGCUAACUCCGUGCCAGCAGCCGCGGUAAUACGGAGGGUCCAAGCGUUAUCCGGAAUCAUUGGGUUUAAAGGGUCCGUAGGCGGUCAGAUAAGUCAGUGGUGAAAGCCCAUCGCUCAACGGUGGAACGGCCAUUGAUACUGUCUGACUUGAAUUAUUGGGAAGUAACUAGAAUAUGUAGUGUAGCGGUGAAAUGCUUAGAGAUUACAUGGAAUACCAAUUGCGAAGGCAGGUUACUACCAAUAUAUUGACGCUGAUGGACGAAAGCGUGGGUAGCGAACAGGAUUAGAUACCCU